rnacentral:ncRNA from 3 species
UAGCAGCACAUAAUGGUUUG